rnacentral:rRNA from 1 species
GAUGAACGCUAGCUACAGGCUUAACACAUGCAAGUCGAGGGGCAUCGGGAAGAAAGCUUGCUUUCUUUGCUGGCGACCGGCGCACGGGUGAGUAACACGUAUCCAACCUGCCCUUUACUCGGGGAUAGCCUUUCGAAAGAAAGAUUAAUACCCGAUAGCAUAAUGAUUCCGCAUGGUUUCAUUAUUAAAGGAUUCCGGUAAAGGAUGGGGAUGCGUUCCAUUAGGUUGUUGGUGAGGUAACGGCUCACCAAGCCUUCGAUGGAUAGGGGUUCUGAGAGGAAGGUCCCCCACAUUGGAACUGAGACACGGUCCAAACUCCUACGGGAGGCAGCAGUGAGGAAUAUUGGUCAAUGGGCGUUAGCCUGAACCAGCCAAGUAGCGUGAAGGAUGAAGGCUCUAUGGGUCGUAAACUUCUUUUAUAUAAGAAUAAAGUGCAGUAUGUAUACUGUUUUGUAUGUAUUAUAUGAAUAAGGAUCGGCUAACUCCGUGCCAGCAGCCGCGGUAAUACGGAGGAUCCGAGCGUUAUCCGGAUUUAUUGGGUUUAAAGGGAGCGUAGGUGGACUGGUAAGUCAGUUGUGAAAGUUUGCGGCUCAACCGUAAAAUUGCAGUUGAUACUGUCAGUCUUGAGUACAGUAGAGGUGGGCGGAAUUCGUGGUGUAGCGGUGAAAUGCUUAGAUAUCACGAAGAACUCCGAUUGCGAAGGCAGCUCACUGGACUGCAACUGACACUGAUGCUCGAAAGUGUGGGUAUCAAACAGG